GCUGAAGUUCUUCUGGCUAGGGUUCUUCCUGUGGCUGGGGGGAGAUGGUGCUUGUUGUGUCUGAGCUUCUGGAGAAGAAGGGGAUGAUUCUACCGGGAUCGGUGACCUUGGAGGAUGGGGAGACAUUGCUGUUCUCUAGCGCUUCGCUUGUGAUCUGGUACUCUUGGAACCUUUUCUGUUCGGUUGGCUGUACUGGGGG
rnacentral:lncRNA from 1 species